GUGCUUGCUUCGGCAGCACGCAUACUAAAAUUAAAAUGAGAUAGAGAUUAGCAUGGCUCCUGUGCAAGGAUGACAUGCAAAGUCAUGAAGCAUUCAUAUUUUUA